GCAUAUGAAGGAUCAAAACAAGAAGGUGGCCAACCUGAAGCACAAUCAACAGUUGGAAAAAAAGAAGAAUGCCCAGUUACUGGAAGAAGUCCGCAGGCGAGAGGAUAGCAUGACUGACAACUCUCAGCAUUUGCAGAUAGAAGAACUGAUGAAUGCGCUGGAGAAGACCAGACAGGAACUGGACGCCACCAAGGCUCGCCUUGCCGCCACGCAGCAGUCCUUGGCUGAAAAAGAGGCACACUUGGCCAACCUACGGAUAGAGAGGAGGAAACAGCUGGAGGAGAUCCUGGAGAUGAAACAGGAAGCACUUCUUGCGGCAAUCAGUGAAAAAGAUGCGAACAUUGCCUUGCUGGAACUGUCUGCCUCCAAAAAGAAAAAGACACAAGAAGAAGUCAUGGCCCUCAAGCGGGAGAAAGAUCGACUAGUGCAUCAGUUAAAGCAGCAGGUUUAUAGACCUAAGAAACAGCCCCUGACCUCGAACAUGCCAUGCACUUGUGAUGCUAGCUACAGUCCAGAUAUUACGGCCAAGUACCAUGGGUCCAGCUACGAUGCGUACAUGAUCCAAAGGUCUCAGACCCAGAACAGGAUGAAGCUGCUGGCGGACAGCUAUGAGGAGGACCACCGCCACCACCACCACCACCACCACCACCACCGCUCUCCCGGGAGGUCGCAGCACUCCAAUCACAGGCCCUCUCCUGACCAGGAUGACGAGGAGGGCAUAUGGGCAUAGCCGGGCCUGUAAACCAAAGUUCCAGUUUUGUUUUGAGGGAUGAUCCAGCUCUGUCGGAGGCACGGAGGCACAGUCAAAUCUCAUGCUGUACAUUGAUCACCUGUCCAACCUUUGCCUAGAGUGGGAGCCCCCAGUUCCUUCAAGAGAUCCAACUUUACCUGUCUGUAAAGAAGAAGAGGAGGGAGACAGCAGGGAGGAUCCGGUGGCAGUUUAACACCAGAGCAGCUAUCAGAAGGGCUGACUAAAGGGCACGCGCAGCUCCGCAGCAAUAUUCUGAUAAUCUAUUGCAGUGCAGCUCACAUCACUGUUCACCACCACCUGGAACGCUCAUGGAGACUGAAGAGGAGCUUUCACUUCCAUUACUGAGCACGGCUCUGUUCGACUCAGUGUCUCCUUCAUCAUCUCAUGUCCUUUCCCAUGGAUUCAGACACGUUGGAGAGGAGAAGGUGGAGGAGGAGGAGACAAUGGCAGGUCCUCCAUUUUUUGGUCGGGAUUCGGGCAUUUAAAAUGUGUUCAUCUCUUCUGAAUGUCAUUAUUUGAUAACAUUUUACUUCUGUUACUUAAACAUCACUGGAUGAAUCUGAACUCCAUGGGAUCAUAACUGUGGAUUCAGCUUCUGUUGGACAACUAGCUUCAUCUCCCGUCUCUCUGCUGGUUCAGUCUAAGUGGUCAUCUCUAAUGCAUUAGAUUAUCAAAAAGUGUGAAUUCUGUGAUUGAGUGAGUGGUGCUGGCAGUGUUUGUAUACCGAGAUGCAUGGAGUGUUUGAAAGAGAAACCAAAGCACCAAAAAUGGUGAGCCUUUACCCUCCUCUAUUUCUUUAAUCUGCGGUUUGAAGAACCACAUUUUGGUGGUGGAACCAGUCGUUACCUCUGGGCCAGGUUGGAAAUGAAAUCAAUUUUUUAAACCACUAAUACUUGCCAAGAAAUCGCCUUAUGAGAACAUGGUGUGUGUCUCUGACAAUGCAUGGCACAUCUAAAUUGAUCAUUCAUAGUUCUAUGGACCCUGUGUUUGUACUAGGGAGUGACUGGAGCCUGAGGCACCUGCAUAUUUCUAUCCCAUGUGUGUUACGUAUCACCCACAGUGGGGUCACAGCCGAGCCUCAGACUCUCGCCAUUCCCGUACAUGCAGGUCUCCACGAAGAAGCUGGGACUCAUUCAUACUCAAGAUCCAAACGCUGUCCAAACAGCGAGUGUACGCUUAGAUCUUCUGCAAAUGAAAGGUCAUUUGUCAUUUUUUUUUAAAAGUCUCCAACAUGGAUUCCAAAACAUUUUCAGCAUCAAACAUGAAAACAUUGAUGAAUGAGGAAUAAUCACAAAAGCUAUGUAUCUGUAUAUAGCGCUACACAACAUGUUUGUGGUACAGAGUCAUUAUUUAAAGCACAUGCCAGGGAGAGAGACCACAUUUUCAGGUCUUUUACAUACAGUGACAUGGUCCUGAGGAGAAUUAAACUCCUCCUGCUUCCUCUGAGGUUAAAAAAAAAAAGAAAUAAAGUUGUUGUAACUUCAUAAAACUCGUUACCGAGUCUGGAAAACAUGUGCAACUCUUGUAUUGAUCCAUUUCCUUGUCAAUGAAAGAAACCCUUCCACGUGUAUGAAAGUGGGGGAUGAAAAUCUGCAUUUCUAAAGGACAAACAGUGAAUUUAAGCAUGAGUGGCCUUAAUAAAUAUAGUUGUCUUUUUUUGCUGCUGUGGAAAGGAUUCUAAGGAGAUGUUCCUGAAGUCUUGCAUUGAAUUUAGUUAUUAUUACUUCUUAAAAUGUUGGUGCAAUUAACUCUGGACCUCUCUUGUGAGCCAUAGAGAUAUUUAAAAGUCAGACACCUUAUUUAUCUAUCUGAGAAGACAAAGCUGUGUCUGGGUUGAGCUGUUCAUCCUUGGUGCAUUAAGAGUAGUAUAUUCGAGCAGGUUUCUCGCUUCUGGCUUUGUUCUUGUCCUAAGUAUUGCGCAUUGUGUAAAACUUUCAUGUUGCACAAGCAAUCCAAAUACAUUCAUGUUUAAUAAGUUUGUCCUUUAACUAUCAAGGCAAUCUAGGUCUUGACUUGAGAAACAGCAGAGUUCUUUGCAAAAGUUAUUUCACACAUUUUGACAUAAUGCCGCCCUGAAAACCCAGGCCUCCUCCAACUCAUGGCUGUGAACAGUUUGAGCAUCCUUAAACAGGCAGCCUCACUGUCUCCUACAGCCAGAUCCUGAUCUGAACUCUGCCACUGAAUACUUGAAGUGGGAAAGCCACUAGGCAGUGAGUGUCCUAGAAGCAGAGAAAGCAACCGACCAUGAAUAGUUAGCAAUUUCCCAGUAUGUGCCAAUUCUGUCCCAGCUGUUGUUUCGAGGGCUCAUUUUUGCCCCACUUUUGUUUGCCUAAAGUAUUACUGAUGUUCCUUUUGUGGGACAAUUAUCAUUUAGUUCCUUAAAAAUUAAAUUAUGUCUAACAUAGCAUCUUUCCAUUAUGUAUCAUGUAAUAUUCCCUGAUGUUGAGGGGCUACCAAAAAAUUCCCUUUUCACAUAUUAAAAAUAGUUUGUGUUUACAGCAAACAACUGUGCUGUUGGGAAGACAUUUCCUUUGCACAGACUUUAGCAGGUUUCCCCCUUGAUCAUAAUCAAGUUGAGAAAGUUGAGGCUGACAUUUAGGAGAAGUUGGUCUUCUUGCUUUGUGCAAAAGCAAGCUUGUACUUUAUACCCUGUUUGAUUUCAAUGUACAGUCUCUAUUUUGUAUUUAAUGAUUUUUGUGUAUCCAGUAUGCACGUUAACAGCGUGUCAACUUUCAUUUAAAAGUGGGUUUCCAUUUACUUUUUAAACAGUGUUCAUGACGAGACCUCAAAUGUGUUGACAUAAGCUCUAUCUGAGAUGUUUUUGUGUUGAGUGGCGUUUGAAUGCUGCCAGGGGUCAGUGUAUCUAAUUCCCAGAGACCCUCGUUUGAUAGUGCUUCUUGUAAUAUUUCUCCAAGUGAGUGGCAUGUGGGUUGUGAUAUUGACCAUGUGAUUAUGGACUUCGAUAUGAAAAAAAAAUAAAUAAAUAAAACUAAGGAACCCUCAGAAACUAUCAGUGGGCAUGUAGUAGCCAGUCAUUGUAACCUCGUGUCUAGUAGAAGUACAACGUACAAGGUAUGUACAGUUCACACAUUUGUUAUCACGUGUAUGAGAAGUGCUUUGUGCUGAUCGCCUUAUUUAUAUUCAUCAAAUAAACUUUGUUUCUUUCUGAA